UAUCUGAGUCUACACUGCCAUAUAAUCCAGUUCAAAGAAAAUAAUCUGGAUUAUAUAUGGCAGUGUAGACGAGACCUCAGAUUGUGGGGAUUGCACGUAAUAUUCACUGUUAAUUGUUAUUUCAAUUGUUGCUUUUUUGCUUAAUUUGUUUUUACUGCUGUCGUUAACUGCUUUGAACACUUUAUUUUAACUGAAGAAAGGAGAGAAAUAUAGGGAAAUAAACAGAUAUGUCUAAUGACAUUUAACAGUGUAUUGCUAUCAGCCAUAGCCUGUGCCACAAGCUUGAUUUGUAAUGCUGCUCCAAUAUCAGGCGGCUAGUCAGAUAACACUGAAAUCAUUCAUAAUGUAAAGAUCCGAGAUUGAAUGUUUUUUAUCUUGCAAAUACAGGAUGUCGGGUGCAUUUCUCUCUUAAAUUAUCCUGUAACUUGUCAGGUUGAAACAGGGGGCUUUUCUCAGUGUUCUGAGACAGACUCUCUGGGCCCUUUGCUCCUAUAAGAUUUAAGGUAAUGUGGGUGAUCCUUCUGCGUAGUGUGUCAUGUGGGUGAUCCAUGUCUCUCUGUUACCUUGGAAGAGGUACAGACCCAGAAGUAAGUCCAAGAUAAUAGGCUGAAGGCACAAUCCCUCUUCUCUUAGGGAAAAGUUAUUACCCCUACAAACAGCAGUUUGUUUUUUGAUUUUCCAUGGUCCAGCCCUGUAUUUAGAACAGAAGGAUACUUUAGAUGCCCUAAUAGUGCUCAUUACUCUGAAUAUGCACAUUGACAAAGGAAGGGGCUUGGCUUUUGGGGGCUGCAGGAAAGUUAUGAUCUACACCUUGUACUGGUGCCGUGUUCUUAUGUUUUUUUUAUUUUCCUGUUUUAAUGUUUGUUUAAAUUGUAGCAUGCAAUUAAUUUAACUGAAGGAAAAGAAGCUUAUUAACUAGAUUCAUCUUAGAAUGUGAGAAUAAAUCACGGCUCCUGUUGAGAAAGCAGUAAAAGAAUUGAUGAAAAUUAACCACAAGAUUAUCAGUCUUAAUGAAAAGAUUUGUUUUCCCUUCUAAGUAAUACUGAUCCAGUGAGACACAGCAUUUGUUGCUUAAGUUUUGCAUGAAAUGUACUGUUGAUGUGAGAUACUAAUUGUUGUUGUAAUAUUCACAACAACUAUAAUGAUAAUAGCAAUAAUACAUUAAUUAUUAGUGUUGGCACGGGCAAAAGUUGCAGUAGCCAAAAUAACAGCAGCAAAUUAAAUAAAUGUUAUUCAUUUAUAAUGUAAAAGUCAUUGAUGUAUGUACACACAUUGUACAAGUUUACAGAGUAACAUCAACACAAUGUAGAUCCUUGCCUAAAGGAACUUACAAUUUUGAGAGGGAGGAGUAGAGAGGAGCCAAGACAAAAAGUGAGAGCAUGAAAGAAACAACCUGCAAAAAGAGUGACAGCUGCAGAAGUUUAAAUUGCAUCUACAUGUUAGAAUUAAUGCAGUUUGAUACCACUUUAACUGCCAUUGCUUACUGCUGUGAAAUCAAGGGAGUGGUAGUUUCAUGAGUCAGCAGAACUAUUUGCCAGAGAAGGCUAAAGACCUUGUAAAACUGUUUUCAUAUUUGUAUAUUUUAAAUUAUACUGAAAUGCCUUUAGUGUGAGCCACUUUGAGUCUCCAUGUGGAGAGAAAAAGCAGGAUAUAAAUAUAAUAAUAAUAUAUUUAAUAUUGUUGCCAUCCCAGGUGACAGUCGCAUUGAUGAAAAACAACAGGAAAAACUCAGCUGCUAUCAGAACCUCAAGACUGAACUUCAAAGACUCUGGCAGAAACCAGUACAGGUGGUCCCGGUGGUGAUGGGCACAUUGGGUGCCGUGCCAAAAGAUCUCAGCCGGCAUUUGGAAACAAUAGACAUUGACAAAAUUACGAUCUGCCAACUGCAAAAGGCCACCCUACUGGGAUCUGCACGCAUCAUCCGAAAAUAUAUCACACAGUCCUAGACACUUGGGAAGUGUUCGACUUGUGAUUUUGUGAAACGAAACCCAGCAUAUCUAUCUUGUUUGCGGUGUCAUACAACAACAACAACAACAACAACAACAAUAAUAUCUUGAUUUCAUAGUAUUGAGCCAUUCAGUCACGGUGGCGCAAUGGGUUAACCCUUGUGCCGGCUGGACUGCUGACCUGAAGGUUGGGUUGCUGACCUGAAGGUUGCCAGUUUGAAUCUACAAUAUGAUAUGUACUCUCGUCUGUCAGCUCUAGCUUGCGGGGACAUGAGAGAAGCCUCCCAGCAACACAUCCCCAUGUCCCCUGGGCAACAUCUCUAUAGACUGCUAAUUCUUUCACACCGGAAGCAACUUGCAAUAUGUUCUUAGGUCAUUUCUGACAUGAUGAAAAAAGCCAUGGCAGUUAAAUGGUGUCAAACUGCAUUAAUUCUGCAGUGUAAAUGCACCCUUAUUUUAUGUAAGUGCUUAGAGAACUAAAGUUUCCAGAGUGAGUGAGAUUUAUGAGGAUAAGCUAAAGGCUUCAUGUAAGCUUAUAGCUUCUAAAGAAGAGGAGGGAAAGAGAGAUGGAGCUAGGAAAAGUUUCUUUGGGAGGGAUUAUAUGAGGAGGGAUUCAAAGAGAAGGAGGGAAGAUCCCAUUGAAAAGAAUGUUAAAACUGGGGGGUUUCAAAAUGGGAAGAUCAUAAAAAGGAUGUUAAAAAUCUACUGGUCUACUCAAGAGGAGGUGAAGAUCCUUUUAAAAGAAGUGUUUAAAACUGUGAAAUCACCAACCUGUGUGAUGGGGAAUUAAGCAGAUGGUUGUACUCUAAAAGGAGGAGUCAGUCUUGUGUGAUAGGCAUAAAUAAAUUCUCCAUCUUCUUUAAAUACCAUGCAAAGAAGACAAUUCCAAAAGGGAUGAGGUAUCAUCUAAAAUUUGAUUUUUUCCCAGGAUUUGAACACAGACGUGAAUCCUUCAAGGGAGAGAUAGGAGAACGAGCGAGAAUACAUAAUGAAAAGCUGCAUUUUCUGGGUACAUGCACCCAUUUGCAGCGGAUGAACCAUAUGUGAAGUGACAUACAAUACUGAAUGGAGGCUGAAUGGUGUCCAGUGCUAAAAACAGUGCAAGUCCAGGAACAAAAAGCAGGAGAACAAGAGCCCUGUGCUGGGCCGGCCUCGCUUGAACACCAGGGGAUUCGCUACUAAAACAUGGGUUUGAUUGAGAAAUGACAUGAUGUUUGUCCCUUCUGAGAACCAUCUAAGGCAUCUUUGUCAAAAAAAAAUAUAUGCUGGCUUCAGGAAUCAUUAUAAUACUAUCCUCUAAUAUCUGCUUUGUUCUCAGUGGGGCUCAUUUCCAGCCUAUUUAUGAGCUGCGAUCAAUAUUAGAACUAGAGACACUAGAGAGAGACACAAACCAAGACUGCAAAACAGUUUGAGAAAGACUGGUUUACGUCCUGGCAGAGGCACAAAUAAUCUACUUACAGUAUCGGAUUAUGAUGCACUUUCUGAAUCAUGAAUUAAAUUACACCUGUUAACAUUUAAAUAUCUGUGAUGUAAAUGAUUCAGUUUAACGUUCAUAAGAUGUUAGUUUAAUCUCUGAAUACCAGUUAACUUAAAGAUGGAAAUAUGUAUAACGAGAUAGAUUUUCUAAUUAAAUUUUCAGCUUAUAAAAUCAGUACUUAUGCAUUUUAGUUAUGCCAAACAGAUGAACAGAAGAAAAACAGGUUCUGUUACUGCAUUGUACAUUUUAGGUUUUUUUCUUGAUUAAAACUUCCUUAACGAGUUUUAACUACAGAUACUUAUUAUUUAGGAAAGCGACCAAAACUUAUUUAUAUGCUAUUCUCUCUAAAGGUAUGAAGCCUCUCAGACUGCACAACGUCUUCCUUCAUUUGUUUAAAAAUGACUUCCAAAUAAAAAUACUCUAAACCUACACCAAAUAUUCUAAAUGUACAAUCGCAAUAAAUAACAUAAAAAAUAAUAUGAAAUACCACCAUUGGUUCUUCUGUUUUGUAGUUCCAAGAAAAAGUAAGCCCUUCAGAUUUGCAUUUAUGUUAAUCACAGUUCUCAUACAUACUAAAGAUUUUUCAAAUGAUCUGUUUACUUAAAUUUUUUAAAUAAAGGAUUUUUAGGUGAUAGUUUUAGGCUAUUUUUGUUUAAUAAACAAAGUUAAAAUGGAUCAAAUCUAGACAUCUAGUGAAAAGCAUCUUUCAUUUAGCUUUUGCUGUCAUCACUUCUGACCUAAGGUGACCCUAAGAUGAACAUAUUAUGAGGUUUUGUUGACAAGAUUUGUUCAGAGGGAUUUGCCCUUGCCUUCCUCUGUGGCUGAGAGAGUGUGACGUGCCUAUGGUCACCCAGUGAACUUUCAAAUCCUGGUCUCUAGAUUCACAGUUCAACACUCCAACAUAUAUGUAAAUUCA